rnacentral:rRNA from 1 species
UACGUAGGGGGCAAGCGUUGUCCGGAAUCAUUGGGCGUAAAGCGCGUGUAGGCGGCCUUGUAAGUCCGUUCUGAAAGCCCCGGGGCUCAACCCCGGGAGGCGGAUGGAUACUGCAGGGCUCGAGUACGGAAGAGGCGAGUGGAAUUCCGGGUGUAGCGGUAGGAAUGCGUAGAGAUCCGGAAGAACACCAGUGGCGAAGGCGGCCCGCUGGGCAGUGGCUGACGCUGAGGCGCGACAGCGUGGGGAGCAAACAGGAUUAGAUGACCC